rnacentral:snRNA from 1 species
UGAUCUUAACUUUAGUCUGC